rnacentral:lncRNA from 1 species
ACGGGAAAGGUCUUAGAAGGGACUUAACGGGAGGAGGUGGAGCCAAUGAAAUCGAAAGAUGUUUGUCAAUAUGCUUUCUACAUGGAGAAGAAGAUCUUGGACUAUCACGACCUUUACAAUUAUUUUUCCAAAUAGGAGGAACAUUAGACGGAGAAGGCUUUAUGAUAGACUUGUGACGAGGCGAAGCUAAUGGGAUGGGUGAACGACGAUGACCACGCCUUUCAUAUGGAGUACUAAUAAUCAACUCAUAAUCUCGAGUUAACGAGUAAGCGUGAUCAAGAGUAGUGACACCUCGAAGGAAAAGCUCACGCCUAAGAUCAUCUCUCAGACCUUGGCUAAACCUACUCAAAGUCGUAGUCUCAUCCUCAAUUAAAUGACAUUUGAUUCGAAAUUCCUCAAAUUCUGCGAUAUACUCAGUCACUAGUUGAUUUCCUUGUUUAAGGGCAUUCCAUUGAGUAAGAAUUUCAAAAUUAUCUCGUUCUCGCUCACGAAUCUGAUCCCUAUACCUACGAUCGUGUCUAAAGCAUUUUUGAUCACCAUGAUGAUGAUGAUAAUGUCUAUUAUGGGACACUUUGGAUUUAUGAACGUC